GUAGGUGGCAAGCGUUGCCCGGAAUUAUUGGGCGUAAAGCGCGCGCAGGCGGUUCUUUAAGUCUGAUGUGAAAGCCCACGGCUCAACCGUGGAGGGUCAUUGGAAACUGGAGAACUUGAGUACAGAAGAGGAAAGCGGAAUUCCACGUGUAGCGGUGAAAUGCGUAGAGAUGUGGAGGAACACCAGUGGCGAAGGCGGCUUUCUGGUCUGUAACUGACGCUGAGGCGCGAAAGCGUGGGGAGCAAACAGGAUUAGAUACCCUGGUAGUCCACGCCGUAACCGAUGAGUGCUAAGUGUUAGGGGGGUUUCCGCCCCCCUUAGUGCUGCAGCUAACGCAUUAAGCACUCCGCCUGGGAGUACGGCCGCAAGGCUG
rnacentral:rRNA from 1 species